AGGGGCGGGCCUCUGUGACGUCAGCGGUCGGGAACGGAUGCCCGCCGGCGCUCCCAUAAGGCUCCCGUAAGGCACCCCAGGCCGCAUGCGCAGAACGAAGAGCGGGGCCCGUCGCUGAGGCAGAAUGAGCAGUGAAAGUGAAGAGGCACCGUCGGGGGACCCCCAGGAAGAGGCAGCUGCGGACGUUGCAGCUGCAGAGGUUCCAGAUGUGGAGGUUCCAGCUGUGGAGAUUCCAGCUGUGGAGAUUCCAGCUGUGGAGGUUGCAAAGGUGUCCGUCGAAGAACAUGCCGUUCACAUCCCGGCACCACUGCCACCACCUUCCCCCAGUGGAGAGCGAGAAAGGGGGCCCAGCCAGCGCACAGGCUGGCUCCUAGACCUGCUGGAUGACGUCCGCUAUCUCAUCUCCUGCACCAACUGGUACUAGCAGCUCUCUCUGCCUUCUGCCAACUCGAGCCGGCACAACUGACAGGCCUCGGCUCACCCUCUCAACAGGGCAGCGGCACCCACCUUGAGGGAAAGCGCCUGCAAGAUCUGUGAUUAAAGGUCUGGGGUGGGGAAAGAAAUCUUUUGGACAUUCUUUCUGUGGGAAACUCGGUUGUCCUUUUGAGCUGCCUUGUGGCCACCUGGUGCAAUUCUAAUAAUGUUCCCUCCGCUUCCUGUGUAAACUGCUGUUAAGCUUUGGGCAACAUCCUGAUUCUAGCCCGGCUAAUUCUGUGCUGUAAUCCCAAGAACCGCUCUGUUAGGGGCAAAACAAAAGCAACAGAAGUCA